CUGGUGGCGUGCUUUAUUUAUAAUAGCGAUUGCUAACAGUCUCAAUGACAUAAACAACUGUACGAGAAGUUAAGUUUAAUAUAUAGUUUUGCUGUUAUAUAUUCUUAUAAUUAACUUUCAACGGGUUUUUUAAACGUAUUGUGGAAGUAUGUACAAGAAAUAAACAAAAACUAUAUAAAUAAUUUUGGGUCUGUCAAGGCAGUUGUUAUCCAUAUUCGUUAGAUAUGUUUGAGAUUUUUAUUUGGCCAUUUGAUAAGCAUUUUCCUUUUUGAUUUUUCCUUGGAUUUUUUUUUUUUUUGUUCGUUCCCUUUUUUUAACAUAUAGAUCCGUGUUCUAUAUUUCCCGCGCAUUCUAUACAAAUUAGAAAUAUACUGUUUAAGGGUCACGUUACGAUCGCACUCUGACACCAUUAGUAAUGCAAAAGUGUUUCUGUCUUUAAUAUUCAAAUAACGUGACAUUCGUUUUAUUUGGAUAUAAUACUCAAAUCAACAAAAAAUAUUUCGAACAAUACAAAGUUCAGAUCAGCUUUUUGACAAAU
rnacentral:lncRNA from 1 species